GGUUCUCAGAAUUGGUCCCUAACCAGCAGCAUUAGCAUCACCUGGGAACUCGUUAGAAAUGCAAUUUAUAGGCAGGGGUUCAAACUGGAAUGAGCCAGUUCUAAACCCUGGUUCUAAUGCUCCCUUUACACAGCUCACCUCUUCAUCCAGAUACCUUCUAGUUGGUCCAAUCUUUUUUCUUUCUUUUCUGAGGUGAGCCCACCUAUUACCGCUUUAUUCAAUCAUCCGUUGCUUCAGAAACCCUUCUAUGCUAUACAUGUCCCAGAUUCACACCUAAGAGGGCAGAUCCUGAAACUUCAUAUCUUUUAUUAAUUCUUUGCUUUUCUCCCUCCAUUCCAGUGUAGCAAAGUGUAAUAGUUGAGAGCAUGCCCAGGAUAAAAACUCCUGGCCCCACCACUUGGUACUAUACCAUUGGGCAAGUUACCUAACAUCUCUGCACCUCAGUUUCCUCAUCUGUAAAAUGGAUUGUUGUGAAGACUAAAUGAGAUAAUUCAUAUAGAACACCGCUGGCGCAUAGUAAGCACCAUUUAAGUGUUUGCUAUUAUUAUUAUUACCGUAUCUCAAAGGCCAGCUACCUAGUCACACCUCCUCAGAUUCCAUCAUGUUGUGUGCUCUUAUCUCCUUGCAUGUAAAUUUGGUUGACAACACAACUGGCUUUCUUUAAUCUGGUUCCAAUAGUACUUAGACUGCAAGGACAAAGUUAACUGAGCGUGUCUCACACAGAACCAGGUGACUGAGGAAGGUUUAAAUAAUGUUUUUUGAGGGUGAAUAUGAAGAUAAUAAUGUUAAAGCUGACAGUGAUGAUGAAGAUGAUGAAAACUUGCCCAGAUGCUCCUUUGGGUCAAUACUCUUGGCUUGUACAGCUAACUCUCCAGGAAGGCUAUAGUAUUCCCCACUCAAAUUAGUUCUUUCCCGUCCUGUGGAAGCAUACUGUGCGUAAGAAAAUAUGUUGUGCAGUAUGCAUGAGAUUUGUUUCUCAGAAAGCAGAGAAAUGGUAAGAAUUUUAAGUGUUCUACAUGCUUAUUUAGAUGGUACAUCAAGAGAUAAAACAAGUGAAAACUCUGACUUGUUAAUAAUUUACAUUUUAGUGGAAAACUUGUGCAUGCUGUUAAGAUACCUCUAAGACCCAGCACAGAAAAUGCAAAUAGCUGACAUCCACUGUGCACUGAAGACAGAAUUUGAGAACAACAUCAAUUAAAAAAAAAAAAAAAAUCCAAGUGUUUUCAAGGGAAUAUUGACCAUAUUUACAAGGCUAUAAUUAUACUUAUUAAUUUCACAAGGCGUUUGUUUUGUUUUGUUUUGUUUUUUGAAGUAAUCAUGUGGAUGAGCUCUCCAUUCAUCAGGUGUUUCUCGCAGAAAAUCCACUGGGCCUACCUCUCCACCUAGGAGGUAGCUUACAAAUAGGGGAUUUCUUUUCAGCAAGCAGCACCAUUACUUUUCUCUACUAGCUUAUGCAGAAGUUUCGUGGGGGAGGGAAAAGCCCAAGCCAAAAAGAGAGAGAGGAGUGUGCAUGACAAUAACUACCUCUGUCCCUUCGGUUUUUGUUCUUUUCAUGUCAUGGAACUUUUUAGCUGUGCUGCCUGGUAACUGCUCGGGAAGGUUGGAAUAUCUGUUGUUGAAGGAGGUUUGUGAUUGAGGGCCCUCUGACACAACCUUUUGUUGCAUUGAGGUGUUUGAUCCUCUUUCCCUUUCUUCUAAAACCAAUCCCAUCCCUUUAAAAAAUGGAUAACCAGCACUUCUUUUACUUAUUGUCAGCUUUUGGGAAGUUACGGUGGGGGUUUGUAGAAGUUUAACCAGUUAACCCUUUGCUCGCUGAUGUGCUGUCGAGACAUUUUCUUUCUAAACAACGGAGGGUUUUAAUCGCUUCUGUCAGGUAUAUACUGAUUUUACUCAUGCCUUAGCGAGUGAGUCACAUUAAAGUCCAGAAAUAAGGUGUCUGCGCUCAAGGUCUUGAAAUUCUCUGAGAGAGAUUCGGGCUUUGAAAUGAGACACAUCCCAAUUUUUUUUUUUUUUUUUUUUUUUUGCCCUAGAUCUGAAAUGGGUAAGAGUUAUGACUCUGUUACCUGGAAAAUCUGACAAUAUAUACCAAUUUUUAACUCAAGAACAACAGGUUGUGGUAAUAAGUAAAGGCAAAAGGGCUACUUCAAAACUGGGGUGGGGGUGUAGUUGGAUGACAGCAAGGCAGGAGAGAAGUGUGGGGGUCUUGUUCCAGCUGGAAAAUUUUUCCCCAAAACAAGGGGCACAACCCAGCCUAUAGGAGAGAAAAGCAGCUUAAAUGGAUUAUUUAACAAAAAAAGGAACUUAAGGCUUCUAGAUAGUGACCUACAUUCUGCACACAAUGACGAUGUUUUACAGUGCUGAUAGGGUUAAUAACCUAACAUCAUUCAUGUAGUGUUUUUUGAAAAUUGAAUUUUACUGCUACAAAGUAAAUAUAACAGCCCUCUGGAGACAAUAUUACAGGCACUUUAUUGUUUGCUAAGCUGAUGUCAUCUUUCUACAGACUGACUUUAAAACAAAGGCAGAACAUUUAUUACAAAUAUCACUGUGUGAAAGGAAAUCUACUGAAAUAUUGUUUAGAAGGUGAGCUGAUAAAAAGUAUUAAUACUUGGCUUUGAUCAUCUUACACUGUCGAGUUAUGACUUCAAAAUGCUUCUCAUGUGAUCUCUAUUCAGGCAAAACCUUAUCCUGGAAGUUCCUAUCCAUGCCAACAUUAUUUGCCCUCAAGUUGGAAUAUUUGUUUCAGUUUCAUGCAUGUUUUAAAUGCAUUUUCACUCUUAAGGCAAUUUCUUAACAAAGUUGAUGAGCUUUGGAGGAAGAGAUUAAAUAGCAGCUUUCAAAGAUGACCUAAGGCAAGCCACCUAAAUAGAUUAAUUCCACAUCAGUGCAACAUUAAAAGGGAGAGAGGAUGCCAAGAAUCCCAUUAAUUUGGGGUAUAAGUGCCUGAAAUUUCCUCGAAACAUUUACACCAAAGAGUACCAACAAGACAGUAUCAAGCAGUAUUCGCUAAGGAUACAGAGAAUGUCCCCAAGUGAAGUAUUUUCCCCAAAGUUAUUGGAACUCUUUUACCAACAAGCGUCUGGGAUUUUAAUAAGUCUGUUCCCUCCAAACAGAGUCCUGGAUGACAGAAGAGAGUAUGUAGUACAAAAGUUACACACUCGGGGACUUUUUUCUCUUAUUGGGGAGGUGAGGUGGGAGGAUUUCCUUUAAUUAUGAAAUAAGUGUGACAUUAGUAAUUACUUCUGUAACUGGUGGAAAUACUGUAUAUUUAGGACCUAGUUUCUAGCACAUGCUAUCAUGUGUGUGAUAAAAUGGUGACCUGUGCUUUCUGAAUUUUUUGGCUAUUAAGGAACAAGCAGAUUAUAACUAGUUGCUGUGGAAACCUGAUCAUCUGGAGGCUUAUCGAGAAUGUAUCAUUAUUUUCUAAACCUUGGUGGAUAAGCUAUCGACUGCAGCCGUUGGACAAGGUCACAUACUGGUGGAAACGAUACGUCUUUCCCCUUUCCAUUGUGUGAUCGUCUGGGGUCUGGGGGCAUUAAUAUGCAACGGUCCUGUUUUUCUUUCAGAAGGACUUGUAAACCUUCAAACAGAGGCACACAGUUUGCAGUUGUGGUGGUGCUGAGUGGGUGUAGAGAAGCUAGGGCUGCAGCCUUGUCCAGUUGCAGAUCGAAUAAAGCUGACAAUGAUGCAAUGGGCCUGGCAUGGAGACAACUCUGUGGGAUGGAUGAAUGGUGUGGCUCUCACCGUCCCUCCGGUGGGGGUAGGCCCUGUAAUAGCUAGCAUAGGAAGGGUGGUGAAAAUUGAUACGCACUAUUACUACAUGUGUAAAACUUAACACUGGGGCCAUUGCACAGGUGGGGGGUUCCUGUUUAUUGAUUUUUAUGACUUUGUUAGAACAUACGCUUAAUGCUUUUAUAUGCCAGGAGCUCUGGGAGGGCUCACCUUAGGUAAUAAACCUUUCCGUACUUUGCAAUCACUCACAAUUUACAUGGGGACUCACAUUAUCCCGUACAAAGCUCAGCAUCCCCCUUCUACUUGGUUUUAGAAGUGCUAUAAAUAAGGCAAAGAAAAUAACUAUAGCACUUACUUUGAAUUUUUUUAAAAACUUGUCCACUCCUGCUAUGAAAAUGGCCCCUAAUUCUAAUUACUCAUAUUUCCAAGAAAAAUUAGUCACACAAACUUAUGUUAUGUAUUGUCUCAGAGGCUGAAAGCAAAUUAGGUUUCCAAUAAGACAGUACAUCAAACAAAGUAGCAUGUUCUUGAUGCCGAUGACUUUUUUUUUUUAGAAUUAUGGUUGGACAUUUUUGGCAGACAGAUUGUCUUUUGCUCUAUCAAAAUGACAGUUUCUUUUGUAACUGCUACAGUCAUAAUUAGAAGGAGAGAAGCAAUCUGCCCAAUUUAAUAUACUAAAAGAAGUUUAGAGGCUCUGCUUGUAAUUUCAUUAUUUUAAAAUUUGAAUUAAUUGUCUUAAAAUAAUACAGUUAAGAAGUAUAACUAGUAGGAUUAUGGAGAAAGGUUUAUUUUCCCUUUAAAAAUAAAAACUCUGAGUAGUACACUUCAGAUGAGAUUAAAAUGUCCUUUUUAUGCCAGGUGCCCUCUUCUGAGAUUCAGAGCAGGAAUGUGAAUAUUCAUCCUUGGAACCGAGCUCAGAGAAGUUGUAGGGAAAGCCCUGGGAACAAGGUCACUUUAAACAAAAAAGUUCUCCAAGUUUCCCAUGCUUGUGAGGCUGGCUGGGCUUAAUUAAGGCCAAUGGAUGACCAAAAAAAAGAAAAAGCGAAAGAAAAGAAAAUGAAAGAAAAAACAACCAACCCUCCCCACUUUCUGGGCCUCCUUUCACAUCCCAUACCUUAGCUGUGGAUGUUGAAGCUCUUUAAAUACAUCAGGAAUAAUAUUUCUCAAAUUCCUUACUAGCGUGGAUGUGCCCAUGGCUCGGCAUCAUUCUUCCCCAUUCCUCAGUCUCUAACCUACGUCACUAGGUGGCCCUCCCCCUAAUACCACAAACAAAAACAAACCCAGAGUCGCAUUCGGGAUGAAAUCAUCAUAACAUAGCGACCUUGUUGUGAACGUGACAUUUGGUUUCAGCAACCCUCUUUUAUGCAGCCCUGGCCAAGCUUAACAUUUCCUGUUGCCUCAGAGGGUAACCUUUCUUCAUAUUUUCUUCAGGAUCUUUCUUUAUAGGACUUAGUGUGAUGCAUACCCAUGAUGCACAUAGGGCUAAAAGUUUUGGAGAGCGAAUACUCACAUACAUGGACAACUUGUUUUUCUCUAUCAGGGAAUGAAGCCUGCCCUCAUUUGUAAGAAUACAUACAUAGCAAGAUUUCUUUUUACCCUUGCUGGAUGAUUUUUGUCACACUCAACACUGAAGGAAACAGACUCUCUCUUGCUGUUACCUUACUUUGUCUCUUAGCUGUUCCUCAUCUCUACAUGAGCCAUCAAAUCUGAAUGUGACACAGAUUUUUAAAAAAUUGCUCCAUCUAUGAGUUGUUGGGUGUUUUUCUCUGCCACAAGAAAUUACAACAUGAAGUACCCUGUACGUUUUUUUGGCAUGUUUAUAAGACAGCAGGAAAUUUUUUUGACCCUAAAAACUUUCUGAUUAUAAGCUGUGCUCUAAAUCUACAGAGGCUUCGUCCCACGUCCCACACUCUUUUACACGUAUGUCAUUACAGACCCGCAAGGGAGAAGGCAAAUUUCCCCAUGGCGGUUCUGAAAUCUGAUGGAAGGCUAGGAGGCCAUGAACCCACAGGGCUGAUUAUACCUGACACCUACAUUUCAAAAUCUCCUGUAGUCUUCUAGUAGUUCCAUAGAUCCUUGUCUGCAGUACUGUGUCCUAAAGAACUGACAUUUUGUUCUGUUCUCAUUCAUCUUAAUCUCCUUAGUUAUAUAUCAAAAAAUAUGCACAUUGAUAUACCCCAAGAAGCCAUGGAUUAAAGCACCUUAUAUUUUAACACAGCUUCCUCUAAGAUCUCUCAUAACUACCUAAUGUUUAAGGCUUGGGCUGACGUGGGUUAUAGGGGUCUGUUAGCCUUUGUAGAUACUUUUCUUUGCAUAUGUGUGUAUUUAUAUGUGUACAUACGUAUAUGUGUGGCUUAGGGCUAUGCUGACAUAUUACUUUCUACAUGUCCAUUGAUUAUAAACAGCAGGCAAGCAGACAUUUCACUUCACUGCUCAUUCUGGUCCACAUCAUUCAAAAAACUAUUGCAGGAUUUCCAUUCUAAAUUAAAUACAUCCGAGGUUACGUAUUCUAUCAAUUCUUUAUUCUUGGUAUCUCAAAAUUCUGAAGUCUUCUUCCUUUGUCUCCAAAAGGGAAACUGCUGAAAGCAUUUCCACCUGGAUGUUUAAAUUAUUUAAGUUACAGGAACCAGACCUUUUCCCUCCUGAGUAGUUGUGGGUUUUAAAGGCUAAAAUUGCUUCAUCAUGCCAAAGUGAAAGUAUGCAUAAAUUAUUUAGUUAAACCUGAGAAAAUACAGACUUUUCCCAGUGAUCUUUCAAGGGCUGCCUACUUAAAUUUCAGAAGAAUGAGCAGGAUUUUUUUCUUUCUUUCUUUUUCUUUCUCUUAGAAAAUGUAAGUAUCUGCUGUAUCUUCUGUCAGUUGAAAUGUGAACAAAAUUACAAAAUGAUGAUUUUUUUUUUUAAAGUCUCAUAAUACCCAGUAUAUCUAUAUCACGUCCAAGGUGAACUCUGCAGUGUGAAUCAAUACCAGUAAGACUCAUCCAGCUGGCAAGAAUUGCAAACCCCCACUGAAUGUAUUCUUACAAAAAUCAGGUUCUAAAUCCAUUCAUCCACUCCAGAGACCCAGGAACACUGCCUAGGGAAAAGAGCUAGCUUAAAAAACGAACAAGACUCGGACCUGCUAUAAGUAAGGUGUAAUUAUAAACCAUGCACUUCUUUUUUAUGAUUCUGAUUUUAAGGAUUUGACAGUAGAAUUAUUAUGUACUCCCCAUUGGAAUCAAUACAAUAAAUACAACAUAGCUUACUAUUUAAGUCUAUUACAUGCCAUUCUAAAAUAUCUGAUCAGAUAGAGCGGAUGUCUAAAACACCAAAAGUCACUUGCCCUUUCCUAAAACAUUGCAGAAGUUAGACAACUCUUUAGCGUCUGACUUAUGUAAAUUCCACACUAAGCUAAGAGAUUUUAUGGGCUGCACAUUCUUAAAUGCCUAUACUGAUCCUGACUCUGUUUGUGACCUUUAGCAAAUCAUUUCACCCCAGUUUUUGUCCUCUUCCUCACGAAUGAUGAAUUUGACUUCAUGGUCACAGUCUGCUGAAGGACACAGUCACAUGAACAGUCAAAAGCAAGGCCAGCUCUCAAAACAGCCAGCAACUCGGUGCAGAGGCAUCCACCCUUGUUCUAAUUGGAAAGGAAAGAGACAGAGCUUCAAGACCAAACUUCGCCUUGCACGAAAUCUGUCUAAAUCUUAGCCACUACCCCUGCCUGACAUCCAGUCUAAAAGAGAAACAAAGCAAAAAUGUGGACUUGGAAAGAUGUACUUAUUAUAGGUGCUCAUGGAGCUGUGCUAGUAUCAUGGUUUUUUAGGGAGGAGUGGAGUAACUGCAGGGAAGGCGAGAGCUGCUGUUGCUUUUAGUUUGCCACUGGGGAUGUUACGUUUCAGCUUGCAUGUUAAAAAUUACAAUAGUAACCAGCAAGGAGCCAGGAGGAAAUAAGGAGGCACCUUUUCCUGAAUAUCUAUCCCUGUCCUCGGUGUUCAAACUCCACUCAGGCUUAAAAAGCCUGCUUCCUCUCUGGCCUGCUUCCUUGUGAGGUGCAGUGCAGAAGUUCAUUCUCAGGUUUCUGCUGCCAGUUUUCAGUAAGAGAUGCUGUGGGGCUGGCCACAGGCAGUUACUCCAGCUUGGUGUAGUGUCGCUUCCUUACCUCAGUACACAGGGCGGAGAUAACUCAGCCAGUUUCUCUUCCUGAUGCUGUUUAACUUUUCUUCCCUGGGAUUUCCAAGGCCUGGACACUCAUUUGUUUAAAACUCUCCUAAACUGCCCAACUGAAGAAACAACAACAAAAAAAACUAAGGACGACAUAAGCAGCGCACCCAAGCAGGAUAAUUAGGAUUGAUGUGCUCUUUUAGGGGCACCAAAUCCGCAUCCUUCCCUUUCUGGUCGCAUUUCUCACCUGCUCAUGUGGUGCCCACCUGUGGCUUGCUGGCAUUGCCAGUGCCUGCAGAUGGGGAGAUUUCCAAGUUCAAAAUGAGGGCUUUAUCUUACAUGGUGGAACUCUACCGGGCCUGUGGGGCGUUCUUAAGGACGGUACGUAGUCCUAGUUCUGUGUCGCUGCUCCCUUGUUUACGUGCUUCCUCUGACUAUUCCCACGCCCCCUCUCCAGAUUUUUGCAUGGCUUUUAUAGCCUCUAGUAAUUAUAUCAGCAGCAUGGUGUCUAUUUUUAUCUCUUUUAAAUGUGUGCAACGUAAAUGUCAAAAGCCAUAAAAUCUCUUUUUAGCAUGUACCUUGUGUGCACCGUUCAGAAAAGGGUGAGGCAGCAUCCAGUGCGGCACUGUGUUUUGAGGGCAGACAGAUGAAAAAUUGAAAACUCCAUUCCACCACUAAGCCUCACAGACUUCCAAUAAGUCACUUAUCAUCUUGAACUUUUAGCCGCUUCUUCUGUGAGAUGGAAUACCACUGCCGACCUUCUAGGGUACUGCAUGGCACCUAGUUCAGCGUCCGGGAUAGCCCCGUGCCACAGCAAGUGCCCCCAAACUCCUAAAUUUUAUGUUUCAUGCUUAAAUAUCAUGACCUUUCAAUGCCCUCCUUUGCCCUUUACCAAAUUCAGAAGCAGAGAAAGAAUAAAAUCUCACCAGCUCAGCAUGACUACUGCAAAUUAUCAUAGGAAUAGUCACAAAGUUGUUACACAAGACACAUAUAGAGAACCCACUGUCACCUACAAACUACUUAGCAAAUAAUAAUAUAAUGGAAAUAUCUAACAUCUACUAAGCAUUUAUUGUGUGCCAAGCUCUAGGUACUUAACCUGUUUUAACUCAUCUCAUCUUCACAGCCACCCAAUGAGAUAAAACACUGUGUUAUCCCCCUUCAGUAGGUGAGGACACUGAGGCAAGUUAAAUAUCUUGCUAAAGUCAUAUAUUAGUAAGUAGGGGAACUAGAAUUCAAAUUUAAGCCAUCUGACCCCCAGCGAAAACUAAAAUACGAGAGAGAAGCGCAUUCAUAUCACUGGACUGUUCUAGCUUCUAAUACAAGGUUAUUUCCUCUCCUUUCACUUCCUUUUUGGAAUUGGCCCAUUAGGAGGCCAAGCGGGCCCCGCAGUAGGGUUGUGUGAAGCCGGAAUCCCUUACUCAGCUACUAGUUAACGGUCACCAUGCUUCAAGGGAAAAAAACGGGCUCAGCAGGUUCAAGUGGUCUGGUGCCAUGGUGCAUUUUAUAUGGUUCAUUAGUUUAUCUUUAACAUAGAGUUGUAGAUGGGGAGAAGAAUUUAGAGAGUUGUGAGAAAAUGUGUUCUAGUCAAAAGUAUGCUAUUGUGAAGAAUAAAAAAGAUGGGAGCAAUGGAAGGGCAUGAUAAGGAUUGAUAAUAAUAAUAAAAAAAAAGACAUAUUUGAUGGCCAUAGACAAAAUCCAGUGAUCAAAGAGAGAACAUAGAGGAUGUUAGAAAUACAGUAAAUAGCCUAAUAAAUUUUAUGGUAGCUAAUUUUUGUCAGUUUUUCGUAAGCUACUUAUAAAAUUAUUCCAGUCAUUUUUCCAUUAAUAUCAU